rnacentral:rRNA from 1 species
GCCAGAGCCAUAUCACCCUGCAGCUCUUGCCUGGUUUCCCACUGAAGCUAAGCAGGGUUGAGCCUAGCCAGUACCUGGAUAGGAGACCUCCUAGCCAAAAUUAAGGUUGCUGCUGGAA